UACGUAGGCAGCGAGCGUUGUUCGGAGUUACUGGGCGGAAAGAGUGCGUAGGCGGUUUUCUAAGUUUGGUGUGAAAUCUCCCGGCUUAACUGGGAGGGUGCGCCGAAGACUGGAAGGCUUGAGUAUGGGAGAGGUAAGCGGAAUUCCUGGUGUAGCGGUGAAAUGCGUAGAUAUCAGGAGGAACACCUGCGGUGUAGACGGCUUACUGGACCAUAACUGACGCUGAGGCACGAAAGCGUGGGUAGCAAACAGG
rnacentral:rRNA from 1 species